GAAUUCAAGCAUGAGCACUUUAGCCCUCUGCUAAAUUCUUCCCUUGGCCUCACAACUCCCAGAUGGUAAAAGAUUGAAGUUAAUUAAUUGCCAACAAGGACAUAAAAAAGGUGUGUUGGAAGGGUCUGCCAGAACCAGAGACUAAGCAGAGCAGUAUAAAAAAAUUCUUUAUUCCAGCUUCCAGAAUUCCUCCUCUACAGCCUUGCAUGUUCAUUGGAAUAACAAAGCCAUUAAACGCAGAGUAACCUGAAGUGCAAGGGGACAAAUGGCCCAAGAUCGCCAGUCAACAUCUGAUGGACCCAGGCUGGCGUUUCUGCAGCCUACUCUACGUAAACACUCCUGCUUCUCCUUUGGUGUAUUUAAAUGCAGAUUUCUUUCAUCUGCCAUUUGUAUCAACUACCAUAUGUAUAAAAGAAGCUCAAGAAGAGUGGAAUGAUUAAGCAUGAUUGAGAUUAUCAAUUUAGUAUGGUAAUGUUUAAGAUGGAAUUUUAAGAUUUUAUAAAGAUUAUACAAAGAGUCUGCUAAACAACCAAGAUGAUAAAUUUAUAUUUACGUAUACUAUAUUAAAGAUGGUGAAUUCAGACUAAUGUGAACCUCACCUUAGUUCAUGUACUCAAGUAUAGAAGGAAAGAAAGCCAGUUGUAAUUUGGUUUGGAAGGUUGAAGCUACUGUAUUUUGGGGAUUUAUGGAGCAUAUUGUAUAUUAUAGGUUUUACACUGUAUAAUUUCCUUAAAGAGGAGACUACGUAUAAUCCUGAAUAUAAGGAUUUAAAUAGUGAUUUUUCCAAAUUUGUGUAAAUACACAGGUUACAACUAUGUAAAAAUUAUGUUUGUGUAUAUAAAUGUAAAGAAUACACAGAAAAGAUUUUAGGUGGCGGGAUUAUGGUAAAUUUAAAUUUCCCCAUUAUGUGGUAGUAUUGUUUUUAUAAUAAAUAAAAAGAAAAAAUGGUUUCUCCUUUAUGGUUCAUGUUGUAAAAAAUUUGCCACAAUCCAACUUUAGAAAGGCUUGUUUUUUGUAUCAAUAAAGUACAUUAACUAUCGAAA